CCAAAGCCAUCUUGCGGCCACCCCUCUGUAGGACUGUACUUGCUCGUGAUUCUGCCUGUUAACUUCCCCGUUCUUCUUCUGUACUCUUCCUUGGGAUUAUCAAUUCUUCUGGGGAUUCAACUUGCCUGGAUUUCUCGUUCUUUGGAGGCAGAAGAGCCUCUUGGGAAGUGAACUCAAGCUGGGGCUCUGGACAACCUGCUGAGACGGCCUGAUGUUGUGUUUUGCGGGGGAGAGGAAGCUGGUGGGAAAGGAUUGGUGUCAGGGCUCAUCACAGUUCCAGAGGAGGUUGACCUGACCAUCAGCAGGGCUACUUAGAGGCCUGGUCCUUCGUCACAGCAAGUGAGCUUGGGCCCAACUCUGAAUCCAGCCACACAAACACUGCCUGUGAAGCACUGGCAGAUUACUGGUUUUCGGUAAAUCCAGCCACCUCGCCAUGAGGACACUCAAGCAGCCCUGUCAAGAGGUCCUUGUGGAGAGGAAGAGAGCCUUCUUCCCAAUAACUACCAUCAACUUGCCAGUGUGAGAGUGAACUACAGUGAAAGCAGAU